GACGAACGCUGGCGGCGUGCCUAAUACAUGCAAGUAGAACGCUGAAGGAGGAGCUUGCUUCUCUGGAUGAGUUGCGAACGGGUGAGUAACGCGUAGGUAACCUGCCUGGUAGCGGGGGAUAACUAUUGGAAACGAUAGCUAAUACCGCAUAAGAGUAGAUGUUGCAUGACAUUUGCUUAAAAGGUGCAAUUGCAUCACUACCAGAUGGACCUGCGUUGUAUUAGCUAGUUGGUGGGGUAACGGCUCACCAAGGCGACGAUACAUAGCCGACCUGAGAGGGUGAUCGGCCACACUGGGACUGAGACACGGCCCAGACUCCUACGGGAGGCAGCAGUAGGGAAUCUUCGGCAAUGGACGGAAGUCUGACCGAGCAACGCCGCGUGAGUGAAGAAGGUUUUCGGAUCGUAAAGCUCUGUUGUAAGAGAAGAACGAGUGUGAGAGUGGAAAGUUCACACUGUGACGGUAUCUUACCAGAAAGGGACGGCCAACUACGUG
rnacentral:rRNA from 1 species